rnacentral:lncRNA from 1 species
UCCCUGCGAUAGAACAACCCUAGGGCCCUCGGUGGGCCAAAAAAUUACGAAAAACCGAAACUUACCGGCGGCGGUGCUCUCGGGUGCGACGGCUCCUCCGGCGUGAGUCGCAUUUUGAUGUUUGGCUCCGAUCAACCUGUAGAGAAAAGAACGGUGAUCACAGUGGUAUAAAAUUUGCAUCAAACGGAAGCCGGGAAGGGCCUCAUCGGAGGCAAAAAUCGAGGAGGGGCGCGGCGGCGCCGCUGGGUUUCGGCUGGGUUUUCCGGUCGUUUGGCCGGUGGUUUGACUCCGGUUUGGCCAUAGGCGGACUCAGCGUCGAAAAAC